rnacentral:rRNA from 1 species
AUUGAACGCUGGCGGCAGGCCUAACACAUGCCAGUCGAGCGGAUGAAGGGAGCUUGCUCCUGGAUUCAGCGGCGGACGGGUGAGUAAUGCCUAGGAAUCUGCCUGGUAGUGGGGGAUAACGUCCGGAAACGGGCGCUAAUACCGCAUACGUCCUGAGGGAGAAAGUGGGGGAUCUUCGGACCUCACGCUAUCAGAUGAGCCUAGGUCGGGUUAGCUAGUUGGUGGGGUAAAGGCCUACCAAGGCGACGAUCCGUAACUGAUCUGAGAGGAUGAUCAGUCACACUGGAACUGAGACACGGUCCAGACUCCUACGGGAGGCAGCAGUGGGGAAUAUUGGACAAUGGGCGAAAGCCUGAUCCAGCCAUGCCGCGUGUGUGAAGAAGGUCUUCGGAUUGUAAAGCACUUUAAGUUGGGAGGAAGGGCAGUAAGUUAAUACCUUGCUGUUUUGACGUUACCAACAGAAUAAGCACCGGCUAACUUCGUG